CGCCUGCGAGCAAUCUGCCACCCCUGCGGCGCUCCGUUCAGAGCGGUAGCCAUUGAGGAGCUAGUGGGGCUGCCUGAUAGGGCGACCGAGCUGCGACCCUGGGGGAGGCAGACGGGAAGGCGCCGGCGCUGCUGGCGA
rnacentral:SRP_RNA from 1 species